rnacentral:rRNA from 1 species
UACAGAGGUGGCAAGCGUUGUUCGGAAUUACUGGGCGUAAAGGGCGCGUAGGCGGCCCGUCAAGUCCCGUGUGAAAGCCCCCGGCUCAACCGGGGAACGGCGCGGGAAACUAGCAGGCUUGAGUUCGGGAGAGGGAAGCGGAAUUCCGGGUGUAGCGGUGAAAUGCGCAGAUAUCCGGAGGAACACCGGUGGCGAAGGCGGCUUCCUGGACCGAGACUGACGCUGAGGCGCGAAAGCGUGGGGAGCAAACAGG